GACGAACGCUGGCGGCGUGCCUAAUACAUGCAAGUCUAACGCAGUGGGGACUGGUGAGUAACAUGUGGGUAACCUCCCAUCAGAGGGGAUAACACUUGGAAACAGGUGCUAAACCGAUACUGAUGGAUGGACCCGCGGUGCAUUAGCGAGUUGGUGGGGUAACGGCGCACCAAGGCCACGAUGCAUAGCCGACCGGAGAGGGUGAUCGGACACACUGGGACUGAGACACGGCCCAGACUCCUACGGGAGGCAGCAGUAGGGAAUAUUCGGCAAUGGACGAAAGUCUGACCGAGCAACGCCGCGUGAGUGAAGAAGGUUUUCGGAUUGUAAAGCUCUGUUGUUAGAGAAGCGGUAUCUAACCAGAAAGCCCCGGCUAACUACGUGCCAGCAGCCGCGGUAAUAC
rnacentral:rRNA from 1 species